rnacentral:tRNA from 1 species
GGGGCCGUGGCCAAGUGGCUAAGGCGCGGGAUUGCAAAUCCCGUAUUCGUGGGUUCGAAUCCCACCGGCCCCU